rnacentral:rRNA from 1 species
AUUGAACGCUGGCGGCAGGCCUAACACAUGCAAGUCGAGCGAGCGGCGGACGGGUGAGUAAUGUAUGGGGACUGCCCGAUAGAGGGGGAUAACUACUGGAAACGGUAGCUAAUACCGCAUACUAUCGGAUAACCCAUAUGGGAUUAGCUAGUAGGUGAGGUAAUGGCUCACCUAGGCGACGAUCCCUAGCGGGUCUGAGGGGAGGAUCGGCCAACGUGGGAAUGGGAACCGGCCCAGAGCCCUACGGGGGCGGCAGGGGGGAAUAUUGAACAAUGGGCGAAGGCCGGAUGCAGCCAGGCCGGGUGUAUGAAGAAGGCCCUAGGGUUGUAAAGUACUUUCAGUCGGGAGGCGUAACCGACAGAAGAGGCACCGGCUAACUCCGGGCAAGCAGCGCGGUAAUAC